UUUAAUACGCUGAUUUUGUAUCUUACAACUUGGCUGAAUUCGUGUAUUAGUUCUAAUAACCUUUUGAUGGAUUCAUUGAUCUUGUCAAAUAGAUAACACAGAAAGUAUUGGAAUAAGCCAGGCACUGAAAGACCAAUGUCACAGGAUCUCGUCACUGGGGAUCUAGAGAAGCUGAGAGUGGAACAGGAAUUGCCAGAGGCCGGGAAGGGUGGGGAGAGACUGGUCAGCAGUACAGUGGGGGGCAAGUGCUGGAGUCCUGCUGCACAGCAGGUGGAUGUGGACGUGACAGUGCACUGCAUAUGUCAAAUCUGAAGAGACAGACAUGCUUACCCAGAACUGAACAUUACACAAUGUCUGUGUGUGUCAAAAUAGCACACAGUACCCAUAGACACACAUGAUUUUGUGUGACAAUUUUUUUUACAAAUUCAGAAAUCAUUCUACUCCUUCUUUUCUUACCACCCACAUAUUUCAGUGCAUACCCACCCACAUGACUAACAAUUUCUUCCUGGAAAAGACUUCAGAAAAACAGAAAAGAAAUGCUGUUUUACAUACAGAUGUGUAUGUUAUGAGAACCAAUCAAUUAAAGAAGACAGUGAGCACUGUGUAUUGUGGCUUCUUAAGAAACUUCAGAUACCAGUGUCUUCAAGUGUCUCCAGGAAGGCUGGGGCCGUAGAGCUUCAUGUCGCUGCUACAGAAGAGAAGUGAAGAGAGACUCACUCUCUGCCCUAAAGUAACCUGAAUCGGUGACUUUACAGGGUUAAGUGUCGGUUAUCGACUCACCCAGGACCACUCGUUUGUCGAUCAGGCAAAGCCAAGUGUGUGAAGGGACCGCAGCAGGACCACCUCCACUCGGCAUCUCAGUUACCUGGGUCAGAAGCAGGAUGAAACUGUAGGUCAGCGAGACACCCUCAAUAUGAAGAUUGAUUGGAACUGGGAAAGGCUUAGAGUGUCACGGUCAAGUGUGUGGACACAGAGAAGUCAAGGUGGAAGUGCGUCAUCAUGGAGCUCUUCCACUCGGCAGCUGGACAUUUGCUCAGGUCACCGACACGUGGAUCCGAGAGAAGUCUGACAGACUGUGGCUCUGGGCAAACUGGUUUACGGAGUUUUCUUGAGCCAAACGCUAAAGUUACAUCUAAAAUGUCCCUUUAAGGUGAGUACAACACCCGGGAAACCAACUCAUCCUCACGAGGCACUGCAACCCGGAGCCUGCCAGCAUCUAAAGAAAGUAGGAACAAAACUCAGAGUCUCUUUGGCUAUUGGCACUAGAACGGGCCGAGAAUGUUGAAACCAGGAAUCAGGUUGAAAACGCGAGGUGACGGGGAGACAAGGUCAGGCCAGGAACAUGUCGCCAGCUCAGUCAGGAGGCUGAGAGCCUUCGACACCCCAGAACCCACGCCAGCAAGGAGUUAAGACUCAGGAAAACGGGCAGCGGAGGCAUUUGGAUGAGGCCACGGGAUCUUUAGAUCCGGUCACGCCACGUUCCGGGGGUUUGGGUGGAAGCUGCCGACGCCUCCCAUGGGUCCUUCGUCUGAAGCACGCUGUCCUGUUGCUGUAAGUGGUCUCCCCCAGGACUCCUCUCCUGCCGGGGUGUGGCUCACAACCCUGCUGGACAUUUCCUCAUGAUGAUGAUGCAGGUGCCCCUGGGGUCUGAUUUAGCUGCCAGGCUGGGGGUCCUCGGCAGUGCCUCGGGUCCUUCAGCAGGUUUAGGCGUUUUUUUAUCAUUUUCUUAAAUGACAGCAUUUUGAGGUUGGGGUCCAGCAGAAGUGUCCUAGGGGGAUCUGGGGCGAGGCAGGUUGUCCCUACUGGCUGUGAGACUGUUAUAAGGCAUGAACACCCUGAAGCGAUUUGCUCCAUGUGGCUGGAAACUGCGGGGACAGAUACCUUACAUAACAGUGACAUCGGUGACAGUUCUCUCUCACGAGAGUUUGUGGCAGCCAGAAUGGGGACUCGGGCUGGCGAGAGGGAACUGUCCUCACUGAGGCCACCCGGGAUGGCAGGCGACCCAGUGGCUGGAGCUUCGUGGUGCAGUGAAGUCAGCCUCGAAGCCGUGAAUCUCUGACCACUAACAGUGCCUGGGAAAAUCCAACAGUGAGCAGGACGCAGUGGACACUCACUGUACGUGUGGUUAGCUGGAGGACAGAGGGGCUGGGGGCCAGCUGCGCUUCCAUCUGCUGCCUUCUGCAGCUCAGCAUGAACCUGCUGCAGCACCUGCUCCUGCAAGGGCAGCGAGGGUCCGCAUCCAGGCCGAGAGAGGCCACUCCUGCUGUGCAGAGCAAGUCCUGUGAAGCGCUGCGCGAGGUUCCACCUGGGUCCUCGGGCACCCCGGCCCGUCACAGGCGGCCUGCAGUUCACCACCAGAUUCUGCACAGCACUCCGGAUACCAAAGCCAGACCAGCAGACAGAUUCACGGUCAGGCAGGACACGUGUCACCGUCCUCGUCCCAUCUCACCAUCCCUGGAUUCCUGGGUCUUUCUUACCCUCUGGUGGUCCUGAGGCUCAGCACCAGGACAGGACGGUGCCGCUGGGCCUCCCACGUGGCCCGUGGGGACCCGUGGCUGGCUCCUCUCCCUGCCGAGCCGCUCUCGCUGUGUGAAAGCACCACGGUUCCUGGGUCCCUCCGUGCUGAAGGGUGUCGGGCUGUCUGUGGCGAGAGGCGGUGGGGAAAGCGGUGGUGGCUCUGCGGAGGCCUGUGGUGGGUGGCAGGAGCUCUCCGUCUACUCGGGAGCACGUGGGGAGUGUGUCCUGGCCUCGGGGAGAAGCUGACACGUGCCAACCAGGGGCAGUGCCCCCUGAGCCGAGGGUGACACGCCAGUCAGGACCCAGGGACACCCAGGAAGCACUGGGCCCGGUGACAUGCAGGUGGCUCCUGCAGCGCCCGGCCAUCUUGUCUCUGGUUCCCAGAAGACUCUGCAGGACUCCAGAUCUCGGUUGUAGGGACAGUCCCUCUGUGACCAGGCUCGGGUGGGUCUACAGGCCCCUCUCCUGCCCGUGCAGGAGUCUGGACGUCUGCCCUUCUGCGUGGGGGCUACGAUUCCUGGAGGGUCCCCACCUGCCCGGCGAGCAGGUGUAGCAGGGUUCCUGGGGCCUGUGAACCCCGCUGCUUCCACACCAGGAUUUAUGAGGCUCUUUCUCCGUGAAAACGCCUGCCCUUGGCAGUUCCCUUGUCCACCGAGAUGUGAGUCCGUUCUGUGGCCCAUGUGUCCACUGUAACCGCGACACCACGCUGUAUUUAUUACUGUGGCUGAAGUUCAGUCUGGAAAAUGGGUCACGUGAGCUACAGAAACUUGUGUUUCCAAAAUGGAUUUGGUUGGUCUUUGUUUUGUCCUUCCAGAAUGAUGGUGGCUGUUCUGAUUCCUUCCCUUUCUACUAGAAGUUUAGACUCAGUUCCUUGAUUUCUACCGGGAGACCUGCUGGGAUUUGGAGGGGGGACACGUGGCCGGGGACAGCAGAGGCCUAGGAACCCUGAGCCCCGACUGUGCAUGACUCCAUUUCUUUAGGUUCUUUCUCCUUCUUACACAGAUGCUCUGGGGCCUUGGUCACAGAAGUCCUGGACGCAUUGGCUGUAUUCUAGCUGAUUAUCCACUUGUUCCAGGGCCUUGAAAAUGGUGUUUUAAAUUCCAAGUGCUCCUUUCUGUGCAGAGACGUGUUUUGGUUUUUACAUAAACUGUUUGAUUUCUGCACAGAGGUAUUUGUGAUGGUGUUAUUUGUUGUCAGUGUAACCAAAACACCUUCCAGGAACGAUUCAGAGGAGGAAAGGUCACUGUGAGGAGUCUCAGAGGUCUCGGUUGGUGGAUGGCUGACUCCACAGCGAGGCCCAGGGAGGCCACACAUCAUGGCAGAUGGGCCUGUGGAGGGCAGAGGCCCGGCUCAUGGCGCCUGGACACAGAAAGGGAAAGGCCAGGGGCAAGACGCGAUGCAGACAUUCCCAGUUCAGUGAAGUCCUGCCUCAGAGCUGCAGGAGACGUCGAGGUGGUUUCUUCCAGCUGAAGGCAGCAGGCGGAGUCUGAGUGUGUGGAGAGCCAGGCCCCCGAGCUCCCGCCAGCCGGGCAGACCCCACAAGCCAGCCUCGGCCCCUCCUUGGGACCAGAGGCUUCUUGCCAAGGCCGCCUGGCCGUGAACCGCGGCUCCGACCCUCUGAGCUACCUAGUGUGCAACCUGGGCAGGCAGGCUUUCCUGCCCCUGUGGUCGGCCUCCGCUCUCAGCAGGGAGGUGCAGCUGAGAGUCUGGCCUGACGGACAGCGAGGCCUGGCCCAGCGCAGCUCCUGGGGUGGAGGUAAGUGGUGCAGAGCUGCUCCAUGGACUCAGGUGUGAGGAGGGAAGGACAGGGCAGGUGAGAGGGAGAGGGAUGGGCCUGGACAGGGCCUGCGGGCCAGGCAGGUGAGGCCACCCACAGCCCUGGGCCCAGGGCAGGAGGACAGGCCUGGAGAGGGACACAGAGGAUGGGGGCCUGGGCAGGGCUUGCAGACAGCCUGUGCCCAGGAGGAGGGCAGGGUCAGUGGCUCUGUCCUCACACCUGGCACCUGCGGCUUGCAGGUGAGCUGGGCUCCUUCUUCUCUUCAGCCCUGCUUGGCCUGGGCACUGCUACCCGGGGGACGCUCCACUAGGGAGCCCAGGCUGCCCCGGGGCUGGCACGCGAAGUGCCCUGGUGGAGGCCCAUGCCUAGAGAGGUGGGCGGGGCACGGAGCUAAGGGGCCUCCGACGUGUGUGGACCGACCCCCAUCUGCACCCACCAGGCCAGGCCCCAGGCCCCCGCUGCUCUGCAGCAGCAGGAGAUCCUGCCUCAGGAGGACCUGUGACACGGAGGAGGGCGGAGGAGGGCCAGGGCGCGCCAACAGCAGUCAGUGCGGAGCCUGGGCCCUGGCACCACGCGUCCCCAGACUGAGAAGCUCCAGCCUCGGUCAUGGGAACGGAAGUCCAAGCAGCAAAACAAAGUUGCGUAACCAGACGACAAAGCCAGGAGCCAAGCUGCAGAUGUGGAGGGAGGGCGGCCCAGCAGCCGGGUGUCCCCAGCUCCCGCCCUGGGGUGGCUCAGAAUGUGUCGCACAGGACGCAGGACGCCAGUGCCCAGGGAUGGCUGGGCCACUGUGACAGAGAGUUAACGGUCGUAGUUCAGGUUUGUCAAAUGGGGGCUGGUCCUGGACCCGGGCUGCAGGAGUCAGGGCCUCAGCGCACGGCGGUCAGUCUCUGUGACUUAGGGAAACACCCCUGGCCGGGUGCUGGGGAUGCGCACCUCCCUCCCGCCCGGGGCUCCAGUGAAUGCCUCUCUGCGGUGACGCGAAGGAGCACCUGAGUUUCAAGUUGACAAAACUUUACGGUGUGGAGUGACUUCUCCUAAUAGUGUCCGACUCUCCAGCUGCCGGGCCCUGGGCAGUCCAGCUGCCCUCCUGCUGGUGCUGUCUCCUUGCCCCCAAGGUGAAAGGCAGCCCGCCAACAGCAGGUCACUGCACCCGUGAGGAACGGCGUGGAGGCCGGGGCUUCCUGUCAGGUCUGCAGCGCAGCUUCCUCAGGCUCCGGCCCCUCCACGGGCUCUUGCCUUCCCUGUUCCCUGUAAACACGGGAGUGAGUGAGCGCGGGGAGCGGGAGGCCGCGUCGCGGCUUCUGUCAGGAGGAGGAGAGGUGGGAAGUGAAGCAGGCAGUGGGCAGGGGUCCUUCCGUCCAGAGAGGAGGGGUGCCCGCUCCUUCAGAACCUCCCUCCGCUGCCCUGCCCCAACCGGUUGCUAAGCUGACCUGCCCCAGGGACUGUCCCCCCUCCAGGGCGUUCAUUACGCCCCUUCCUGCCAGGCCACUCCAGCUUGGCCCUCCUGUGGCCAUCCCACUGGGCAUGGCCUGGGCCUGGUCAGGAGGGAGAGGGAUGGGGAAGAGGCAGGAGGACGAAGGAGACCCAGGACUAUGAAAGGGGCAGAGGACACCCGGCUCUGGACACCAGGACACCAGCUCUGGCCCUCCCCCCGGGAGAAGUCUGGGACCCUUUUUAAACCAGCUUCACCUCCUUGCCUUGGCGCCUGUGGCGCCACGCACGUCGGGAGCAGGACUCGCCACCGAUAACUGGUGGUCUCCAAAGUCUGGGCAGGGGGCUUCAGAACCUGGAGGGCACUCCAGGCACAGGACACACCCCAGGGCUGGGCCAUGGGAGCCUGGGCCUGACUCUGAGAGCUGCGGUUCCUUGCCAGCCCACUAGGGGGCCUGUGGCCUCUGGAGGAACAGCCCCUGCUGACCUUGGCCAAGGAGGACCAAGGAGGACCAAGGAGGACGAGGACGACGGCCACUUCAGCUGCCCCAUCCUGUGGACAGGCUGCAGGAGGGUCCGCCUUGGGGACACACAGGCUGGGGGAGCUGGACGUCCACGGGCUGCAGGACAGGAGCAGGCUCUGACAUCACCACAGAGAGGCCACUGGGCGGCCGAGGCGCAGAGCCUUGUCCCCGUGCAUGGGUCCUCUGGGGCAAUGGGGGCCAGGGAAGACCCGGUCAGGUAGUGUCCCUGAGCAGCGGCCAGGUCAUCGUGGUGGACGCUGGAGGAAGGCCGACCAGAGUAGGGUUUCGGGCGGCUCCAGGGCCUGGGCCAGGAGGGCGGGGCUCUCUGGGAGCUCCCCUCCCCUGGGCAGCACCCACUGCGGGGGCGGGUGGCUGGGGUCUGCCUACCGCACCGGGGCCGAGGGCAGACGCGUGUUUCCCAGGCGAGGACCUGCCGUGGGAGCUGGUCAGGGAGAGGGUGGGUCUCUGUGCUGAGGCUGAAGUGAGGAAGGGGCACAGGGCCUGGGGGACAGGAGGGGCUGGCUCUGGGGUCCAGGGUGAGAGGAAACCGAGCUCCUAGCCUGGGCGCACUCCAUCCGCGUGCAGGAGUCGGGGUCUCCCUCCUGUCCACUCUGUCCUCUUCACUGUCCAUCCAGUGUCCUGUAAGGGUGGAGCUAGAACAGGACACCUGUUCUCUACAAGGUGGCCGGCUGCCUCUCCCUGACCCUCCCAGUGAGAAGCCUGGACUCUGAGGCUGGAACAGCCCCAGGAGCAGCACGGAGCCUCUGGGUGGGGACGGUCAGGUCACGGCUGGGUCCACGGCUGACAGCACACCAGCACAAUUGACCCAGAGGCCUGGAAUCUCCCCCCUCCCCAGAGGGCUCAGGGUCUGAGGGUCACCAUGGUGGGACAACUAGCGUCCUUCUUGGGCCAUGGAAGGAGCUCUGUGCACCAGGUCUGAGAAACCCUCAGGGACAGAGGCAAGGGAAGGACGGCUUGUGUGAGGAAGGACACUGAAGGCAUGUCCAGGCCAGGGGACGCGUUCCCCGCUGUCCAGCAGGGGCUCCAACGCAGCUCUCACAGGAAGAAGGGCAUCAGUCAUAUUCUCUUGAGAUCAAUGGAAACAUGGAAAAUCCCAGCAAGCACAAAGAAGUCGUAGAGACGACUCAAGUACAGGGGCCAAAAACACUCUCCGGAUGUGCUCCGCGGAGAACUGACAUGGACAUGACAGAGGACAGUCUGUGACCUCAGGAGGUCAAUAGCACCCACCCAGCCCACGGCCAGAGAAAAGGACCCAGGAAAACGCGCAGAAUUCCAGGAACCCAAGGGCGGCCCCAGGAGUCAACCUGCUUGCCACGGUGUCCAGGGAGGGGUGCAGAGACGCGGCCCAGCCUGGGGCCGGCCAGGAGACUGAGCCGGCUCCAGCACACCCCUGGACCACAUCCUGUUACGUGCAGAUGCGAGGCGUCCCCAGAGGCUCAGGUGGGAGGGACGCAGGAAGGUUCAGAGGAGAGACGACUGGGCUAGGGGAGCCCUCACCUGGUCAGUGCGCCCGUCCCCUGACAGGGAGGAACGGGGGUGACCGUGGGCAGGGGCUGUGCUGCAGGAGGUGGCCCGGGGUGUGCCGUGGUUCACAUCUUGUCCUUGUUGAGAAGAGCCCCCUCCGAUUCCUGGUGCCCUGACCCGCUGCUUCCCUCGGCCUCACUCUUCUGCACGAUGUGGGCCACUCAGGUCCCAGAUGAGAGGCCAUCGACGGAGUGAGACCUCUGAGACCUGAGCCCAAAUCAACUCCCUCCUUAAAAUUGUUCCCGUCAGGUCUGUUGGUUGAGGCUUGAAAAAGCUGCCCCGACCACGUCUCCAGCAACAGGAUGGAGGAAGGACCACAGGGAGGGUAGGGACAGAAGUGCCAUCGAGACUUGUGUCCUCUCAGGCUCUUUGAAUCAUGUUUGAUUAUUAUAACCCAAACCCACUGCCCCUGAUAAUCAAUGGAUCUUGUUUAACUGGAGGGAAGACAAAGGGACCAGGAAGUGAGAUUUUACUCCAAGUGCGAUGUUGUUGGUGCAGCAGACUGUGAUAAGCCAUCGGUUGCAAUAUCAAAAAGAGCCACCCUGAAAAUGACAAACAGAAAUACCAUCAAUGAAUCAAGACGGAAUCCCGAAAUGAUGUUGAAAUAUCACAAAGGAGGAGGAGAUGAUGAAGAGGACUGAGAAACAGAGGAAACAAACAGAAACCAAACAGUGAAAUGGCAGAGAUGAGCACUAAUGUUAAAUAGUACACUAAAUGUAAGUGGUCUAGAUGUGCCAAUCAAAAGUCACAGACUGCCGAGUGAAUAAAGAAAAUCCUCCCAGCUACAGACACUUGAGGGAAACUCACUUCAAACUCAGGGGCACAGUAAGCUUGAAAGUAGGAUGAAGCAAGAUACAGUGUGCAGCACUGAAUUUUUUUAAAAAAGAGGCAGCUGAUAACUACAAAGUAGAACUAAGAGCAAUAAUAAUAAUAAUAAUAAUAAUAAUAAUAAUGCUGAGCAAAGAGGGACAUUACAUGUAGGGUGGAAGGAUCAAUCCACUUGGAAAUGCUAGUGACCCCAAGUGUGUUGCACCAAGCAACAGAGCUCAAAACAUGGGUCAAGACCUGAGAGGGCCGCAAGGAGAAAUGGGCAAGUCCCAGAAUGGUCCUGGAACUGACGGAACCAGCGUCGACCGCAGCCAGGACCUACCAGUCUGAGCAUCAAGGUGGACCAGCAAUAUCUGGUGGACAGAGCAGAACAUUCACAGAGUGGGCACUUUGACAAGUGUCCACGUGACUGCCGCAAGGAAAAUCUCACUCAUAUCUGUGUCGCAGAACCAACCUUAACCAGAAGGAGAAGAAUGCAGGAGGAAACACCAAUUUGUGCUCAGGAACCCACGAGCAAUCGGUGACCGUAAGCCCAGGGAAGUCCGCAGCGACGUAGCCCUGCCCAGGUCUGAAGUCAAGAUCAGUGUGCAGAACACACGUAGGAGGGAGGGAGGGAGGAUUUCGAAGUGUGUGGAGUCCAGCUCGAGAGGGGCAGGAGAGGGAGUGGGGUGACCCUGCACCCUUCAUGGGUGAUCUCAGUUGCUACCUGAAGAGGUCAGGAAAGCAGAACGGACUCAGUAAGUAGAUCAGAGGGAAUUCUCAAGAGCAGAAAUCAAGGACCUGGGGAUAGAAAGUGAAAAGAAAAUGCUUCUUAGAGAAUCAGGUAAAGGAACAGACUCUAGUAAGACUGACCCGAGGGAGGGAGGAGGGAGGGAGGGAGGAAGAGAGGCCGCAGUCUGCAGGGUCAGGAGUACAUAAGGAGGGUCCCUGAGGACCUCCAGGGGCCAAGAGGGAAACAGGAGGACCCACCGAUUUAGGCUCAAGGAUUCGACGACUUAGAGGAAUGACCAGUUCCUUAAGAGCCAGGCACACAGACCCCACCUGAUGACCAGUGACGGGCAGCUGUGCAGACGUUGCACUGACCUGUGCCCAGGUCCCCAACUCCAUCUCCAGGCUGCGACUUCACUGGGGGACUGACAGGCGUGUAAAGGGUCAGCACCGAGCUCACGCGGUCUCUGCUGAUCGUCAAAGAGGGACACCCUGACCCUCCGAGUCAGGCCGGAUCAUCCUGAAAGGCCUCUGUGACUUCAGCCUUGUCCGCGGGGCCCUGGACCUGGGCCUUGGGACCUUUGCACCUGUUCUUGUGCUCCUUCUCUUCCGCCACUGGGCCACCUGGGCCUCAGGACCUUUGCACCUGUUCUUGUGCUCCUUCUCUUCCGCCACUGGGCCUGUGGGUCAGUGCCCCGGGGCCUUCCCCAGGAGCUGCCCCGGCUCCCGUCCUGGGCCAUGGGUGGCUCAUGGCCCACACUCUGGGCACCCCUCCCCUUCCCUUCCCUCUGCAGACCUUCGGUCCCCUUCUGGGGUGUGUCCUUCACUGACCUCCCACUGGUGGUGGCAUGGUUCCCUGCACCCGCAGCGCCUCGGUACGUUCUUGUCUUCGGGCCUGGUAUUGCCCGGCUCCGCCGUCCCCAGGUGGGGCCCUCCAUCUCCGGCCCUUUGAGAGGUCACUCCCGCCUUGUCCACGGCCUCUCUUUGCAGAACUCAGCAGUCACUUACUGCUUCAGCUGUCGCUGGCCCGCAGAGGACGCAGGGUCAGGAGAGGGGACGCCAGAGCUGGGUGUGGAAGGGUCUGUAGCCCUUUGGGCAGCCAGGAGGAGCCCACCUGCUGGGCCUGUGCAGACCAGCUGGGGGCCCCACGUGGCGGAGGCUGUGGCAGGAGCCACACGCUCCAUGGCUCCCUGGGACCUGCGAGAGGCCUGCCAGGUGCGGUCCGCAGAGGGCUCCUUGCUGGGCCAGGGUGGCAGCACCGUGCAGGCAGCCAGAGCUGAGGAGGGGCAGCUGGCAGAACCUGGCGCCCGCUCUGCCCACGUCAGCCGAGGCAGCUCCCGCGUCUGCUAAGCCUCACACCCGCAGCCGCCAGGCACCCGGAAGAAAAGGGCCCCUUCAGAAGCCAGGAGGGGGGGGGCGAGGUGACAGUGCUGUGCCCCCCACCUCCCGGGCUCACCUGCAGACAAGGGUCGCCCCUGCACGGGGGCUGAGACUGCUGGCUCCAUGGUGACCUGGUCCCAGGGGAGAGGGAAGGGAAGAGGAGGGAAGGCUGAGAAUGGAGGCCAGGUAGGGCAAGCCUCCCUCUUGUGCCCCCCCACAGCCUCGUGCUCUGUGACCAGGCUCUCAGCACUUCCAGAGGCACCAGGGCACACACCCAGCUCCGGGGGCAACCGCCUCGGGAAGAGGAGAGGCUGCAUGCUGAGACCCGCGGCCGCAGCUCUGGGACUGGGCGGGCGCUGCAGGCCCAGCUGGAGCUGUGGCCUGGGACCGCGGUGUGUGGCGGGUCCCUGUGCUUUUUGACAUGGAUUCCUUACUAAACAGAAACGCAGGUCUCACUCCAGGCAGGGUAGUGGCCAGCCUUGGUAGCUGGACAUUUUCAAAGCCAGUUUUUAAUGGAAAAUCUUGAGCUUUUCCUAUAAAAUGGGUGAAACCUUGAAUCCAUGAAGAUCUGUUCACAGCCAGACAAGUAGGUGAGCAGCGGAUAGAGACGUCCUGGCAAAGCUGGGCUGGAGGAGCAGGGCCCGGGGCCGGCCGUGGGCCUGGUGCUGCUGCCGUCGGCAGGCCUCACCAGCACCAGAGCCUCAAGGUCAGAGCCUCAAGGUCAAGUGCCCCGGAAGAGUGGCCAGCCCAAGACCCCGAGCCCAGCAAGCACAGUCCUCCCGGCCAGGCUGGGUCUCCACCGCUCUCUCAGGAGACUGUCCAACAGGGUGAGUGGUGGGAAUGUCCACUCAGGGAGUGUGUCAAGGCCCGUGGACGCCAGGCUGUGGACUCUCCAGAAGGACGGUUGGGCUCCUGGUUGUGGACAGGAGAGUGGAGGGGUACAGCUGUCCUGGUGAUGGGCCUCUUCUAGAAUUAGCAGUAGCGUCCAUUUCUCAGCAGGGUGCACCUGUGGGACUCCAGGGGGCAGAGCACUCCAGGGGGUGACUCGGCCCUGUGACGCUGGGCACAGGUCUGUGACAGCCGCCCAAGCUGCCUGCUGACCAUAUCUGGGCGGAGAUGAGACACGGCCAUUUCAGGGGACUGUGUUGGAAGGGCAGGUCCUCCCCUCAGGGGCCCUCACCGCCGGCAGCGGAGCCCGCCCUGCCUGGCCCUCCAUCUCAGCACAAACCCAGCCGGGGCUUCCCUUUCCCCCAGUCAGCCCGGGUCCACCGAGGCACAGGGGACAGGGUGUGAGGUUUCAUGCCGUGGCCUCAGAGCCUGGGGACAGAUGGGAUCCAGAUGGAUCCUGAGGGCUCCAUUUUAGAAACAGACUUUUAACACAGGGGCUUGAAAUUCCAUUUAAUUUAGUGGGCGUGAAGGACCUCAGCUGGUUUUCUUUUAGGAAAGAUUCAUUGCGUAGCAGAAAGGAAAUCGGCACAUGAGUCACCUGGACCUGGGGACCGGAGGAGGGUGGCCUUGAUUGGCCCUCCGCUGGGCAACUCCGCCUGAUGUUCAGUUCUGCUCCGGGCGCGUCAAAAGGAACUCAGUCAGCCCAACAGAGGCACUUCUCACGCUCCAAACAGAUGUUCCGCGUUGCUCAGUCCGCAAACCCCAACCAGAACUCUUCAAGUGGCCUCGGCUCAGACUGAGGUGGUGUGCAAAUUCAGAUCCUGUUGCAUUUCAAACCGGAGUUUUACAUGGAAAGAGAACGUCAGGCCCCAGAAUGUUUCAAGUGUGAACAAACCUGUAAGGACAUGUGCAGUAUCGUGUCACUGGUGGCGUUUAUCUUAAUCAAGUCACUUCAUCGCAGCAGCCGGCGGUGCUCCUUCAGGGUCUCAGCACUUAGACCAAGGCCAAAGCUGCAGAAAGAGACCCCCGAGGUCCCGGAAGUGCUGAGCCCAGGCCACCAGACCCGCUGCGGGGAGCCUCCUGGGCGCCCCGGGUAUGGGGGUACUGCUGGGCGCACACCUGCCAUCCACAGUGAGCAAAGCAGAGCCUCCCGGCCUUCCACAUGGGGCUCCCUGGGAACGAGAAGGCAAGAGACAGGGGCCCUGGGAGCCCAGGAGGAGCCCAGCUCUGGAGAUGAGAUUUCCAGGAACAGGCCCCAUUCCUCCCCAGCUCGCAGGCCCCGAGUCAUGCAUGAUGGUUUCCAUUACAGGAAUUUUCUGAGGGAAAAUUUUCCACAUCUUUUAAGAUUCUUGGAAGACGGAUGCUGAUGUUAGUUACAUGGAAUGAACCCAUUUAUCAACCGAGGUGUCAGAGGAUGGAUAAAGACUCCUUAAGCAUGUUAGAAAUGUAAGCACAUAAAUACUGUGAGAAAAAUUGAAAAAAUACACAGAAAAAUUGAAGUAGGUAAUUCCCAAAACCAAGAGCUUCAAAAACAGAAUCGGUGCAUGUGAAGCUCCCGUACAGAUCUGAACACACAUGCAGGUGUUCACACAUGCACAGUUCACAGAGAACUGAAAAGGAAAAGGCUUUACACAGAGAACCAGCCAACAUCUCUGACCUACUUGAGUUAAAGAAAAUAGUGGAUAUGGUAGCCACGCCUGUAAUCCCAGCAGCUGGGGAGGCUGAGGUGGGAGAAUUGCAAGUUUGAGGCCGGCAGCCUCAGCAACUUAGCAAGGCACUAGGCAGCUUCGCAAGA